rnacentral:rRNA from 1 species
GAUGAACGCUGGCGGCGUGCUUAACACAUGCAAGUCGAACGAAGCAUUUGCGACAGAUUUUUUCGGAAUGAAGUUGCUUAUGACUGAGUGGCGGACGGGUGAGUAACGCGUGGGUAACCUGCCUUGUACUGGGGGAUAGCAGCUGGAAACGGCUGGUAAUACCGCAUAAGCGCACAAUGUUGCAUGACAUGGUGUGAAAAACUCCGGUGGUAUAAGAUGGACCCGCGUCUGAUUAGCUAGUUGGUGAGGUAACAGCACACCAAGGCGACGAUCAGUAGCCGACCGGAGAGGGUGACCGGCCACAAUGGGACUGAGACACGGCCCAGACUCCUACGGGAGGGAGCAGUGGGGAAUAUUGCACAAGGGAGGAAACUCUGAUGCAGCGACGCCGCGUGAGUGAAGAAGUAAUUCGUUAUGUAAAGCUCUAUCAGCAGGGAAGAUAGUGACGGUACCUGACUAAGAAGCUCCGGCUAAAUACGUG